UCUGGGCACACGGAAAAGUUUCCACUCCUGGGUCCCUUGGUCUCUCCUCUGCUUGGUGAGGGGUCCUCGUGCUUCUUGAGAGAUGGCAGCUCAUGUGGGCGUCCGAGUCAGCCUGCUGUUGGCUGCAUGAUUUGUUUGGGGAAGUUAUCUUUUGUCCCUGAGCUCCUCCACCUGCUGACCCCCUGCCUGGGAAAGAACCAGGUGUGCCGCAGGACUCUCAACCAUGCAGAGGAGAUGGGCACUGAAGGAAGAACCAAAAUGUGGAAACUCCUAUCCUCAGAUUCCACCUGGUUGCAAGAAGGGCCAAAGUCUUUGUGGCCAAGCAGGAGUCAAGACAGAGCCCCAAUCCAUGUGAACAUUGCAGAUACCAGGAUGCCAUUACUUGGUCAGACCCCACCAAAACAGGACAGGGAAGGUGUGAAGGAGAGGAGGCUUACACAUCUGAGGUAAGAACUGCUUCCAAGGACUUGCUAAAAAUCCCACAAGAAACCCUUUUAUUUCCUUCAUGAAUCUCCUGCCUUGACAAGGUUUACCAGCAGACAUUCUUUAGGACCUCAGUAAUUCAGAUGAGAUGCCCUUGAAAGGACACUUGCCCAGCGAUGGCAUCUUUACCAAUGAACUGACAGUAACUCUGUCUUUGAGCCUCUGGACCAAUGGACUCUGUUUCUAGGCAGUUUAUGUGGACCUCUCUCUUUUUCUAAUAAAAGCUUCCCUUUGCCUUCCCUCACAGGAUGCAUUGGCUGUUUGCCAUCCCAUACAUUCUGGGUUAUAAUCCUCAUUUCUCACUCCCAAGUAAACUCAUAUAUUUGGAGAUAAUUUUCUCUACGGUCUUUUUUUUUUUUUUAGGUUGACACCUAUGUGCUGAAAGAGGAAGUAAUGGAUGCCAGUUCCAAGACCAGGACUCUAAGAGCUGGAGCCUGAUCCUCUGGUUUCCCUCCCACAGUGACCAUGGAUGCCUUUUUUUCCAGAAAGUGCAGUUCUCGAAGGCCUGAGUCCUGGUUUAACUCUAAUAAAAUUUCUUAAUAUUGAAUACUUAUGUGUCUCUAUAGUCAAGUUCAAGAAAAUACUUUCUAUUGAGCCUCACUGCUUAUCAGCAAGUGUCUCUCUCAUCUUUUAACAUUUAUAUAAUGUGAUUUUUGUCUUGUAGAAUAUUUUAAAU
rnacentral:lncRNA from 1 species